rnacentral:rRNA from 1 species
CCUACUGGAUGCUGCAGUGAGGAAUAUUGGUCAAUGUCCUGAAGGCUGAACCAGCCAAGCCGCGUGAAGGACGCAGGUGCCAAGCCUUGUAAACUUCUUUUGUCAAGGGACAAAAUCAGACUCGAGAGCCUUAACGAGGUUACUUGAAUAAAAAACAUCGUCUAAGUCCGUGCCCGCAGCCGCGGUAAUACGGAGGAUGCCAGCGUUAUCCUGAUUUAUUGGGUUUAAAGGGUGCGUGGGCGGGCUGUUAAGUCAGCGGUAAACGCCAGGGGCUCAACCCUGGAGAGCCGUUGAAACUGGCUGUCUUGAGAUGUCGAGAGGUAUGCGGAAUGCGCAGUGUAGCGGUGAAAUGCUUAGAUAUUGCGAAGAACUCCGAUUGCGAAGGCAGCAUACCGGCGGCGAUCUGACGCUGAGGCACGAAAGCGUGGGUAUCGAACAGGAUUAGAUACCCGAGUAGUC